UCUGAGCUACGUCAUGUGGACUCAGCAAAUAGCGGGACUGAUCGUAAUGCUUGUAUUCACAGUUCUUGUCAUCGGAUCCAGAGAAACAGGUGAAUAAUGAUGCAGACAAAGUCCAGUUUGAAAACGUAAAAGCACAUCCUGCUGCUACUAGACUGCGGUGAUUGACAGAUUCCACACUAACUUCAGCUCACCACAAAAUCAGAUAUCAUCACAGUAAUUUUUCCUGAGUGAUCGAAGCUUUGAGUUAAUAUGAUUGUUUUAUGUUUAGGAUACAUUGCUUGUUGUUUUUACGACUUAAAUGUACAGAAUUUCUGUCCAACUGUUUUCAUGCCAACUACAAGCAGAGACUGAAAAA